rnacentral:rRNA from 1 species
AUUGAACGCUGGCGGCGUGCUUAACACAUGCAAGUCGAACGCGAAAGAGACUUCGGUCUCGAGUAGAGUGGCGCACGGGUGAGUAACGCGUGGAUAAUCUGCCCUCAUGACCGGGAUAACAGUUGGAAACGGCUGCUAAUACCGGAUACGCCCUGAAUGAACUUUUAGGGGAAAGACGGCCUCUGAUUGCAAGCUGUCGUAUGAGGAUGAGUCAGCGUCCCAUUAGGUGGUUGGAGGGGUAACGGCCAACCAAGGCAACGAUGGGUAGCCGAUCUGAGAGGAUGAUCGACCACACUGGAACUGAAACACGGUCCAGACUCCUACGGGAGGCAGCAGUGGGGAAUAUUGCGCAAUGGGCGAAAGCCUGACGCAGCGACGCCGCGUGAGGGAUGAAGGUUUUCGGAUCGUAAACCUCUGUCAGAAGGGAAGAAAGUGCGUGGUGCUAAUCAGCCGCGCAUUGACGGUACCUUCAAAGGAAGCACCGGCUAACUCCGUGCCAGCAGCCGCAGUAA